AAGUGAAUACAUAGCUUAAUGAGGGGAACUCAGGGAACUGAAACAUCUAAGUACCUGAAGGAAGAGAAAGAAAUUCGAUUCCGUAAGUAGCGGCGAGCGAACGCGGAUUAGCCCAAACCAAUAAAGUUUUCUUUAUUGGGGUUGCGGAAAUAUCAUAACGAAGAGGUAUCGUAAUUGAAGAGGUUUGGAAAGACCCACCACAGAAGGUAAUAGUCCUGUAUGUUAAACGAGAAGACUU
rnacentral:rRNA from 1 species